rnacentral:rRNA from 1 species
GAUCCUGGCUCAGAUUGAACGCUGGCGGCAUGCUUUACACAUGCAAGUCGGACGGCAGCACAGAGAAGCUUGCUUCUUGGGUGGCGAGUGGCGAACGGGUGAGUAAUAUAUCGGAACGUACCGAGCAGUGGGGGAUAACUAAUCGAAAGAUUAGCUAAUACCGCAUAUCUUCUGAGGAAGAAAGCAGGGGACCAUUUGGCCUUGCGCUGUUUGAGCGGCCGAUAU